ACCUUCUAUAUUACUAUGAUAAUGUUAAAGCUAGGUUGACACGAUCAGAGUUCACUCGGAGAUGAACUCGGUCCGAGAGUACUCGGACAGAGUUUUAAGUUCGUUUACACGUUCCGAGUGUACUCGGUCUGUAAUCUGAGGUGAAAUGGCGGAUCCCGUGCUUGGAGAGCUUGAUGUUGUGGCUGAUAUGCUGUUGCAGGGGCUGGACAGUCGUAUUAAUAAUCAGAAUAGACGAAAAAUAUAGUCAGAAUAUACGAAAAAAGAGGAACGAGGAACGAGACGAAAAGAGGAAGAGGAGAUACUCGGACCGAGUCUGCCUCUCAGUCCGAGUAUUUUGGUUGUCGUCCGAGUUUACUCUACUCGGAAAAAACGGUCCGAGUAGCGUCCGAGUGGAUGCGCGCGCAUCGUCCGAGUGAACUCGAUCCGAAUGUACUCUGAUCGUGUCAACCUAGCUUU
rnacentral:lncRNA from 1 species